CCGAGUUUACAACUCCCAAACUCCUGUGAACAUACCUAUACGUUGCCUCGGCGGAUCAGCCCGCGCCCCGUAAAAAGGGACGGCCCGCCCGAGGACCCCUAAACUCUGUUUUUAGUGGAACUUCUGAGUAAAACAAACAAAUAAAUCA
rnacentral:misc_RNA from 1 species